GCAGUCGAACGGACCCUUCGGGGUUAGUGGCGGACGGGUGAGUAACACGUGGGAACGUGCCUUUAGGUUCGGAAUAGCUCCUGGAAACGGGUGGUAAUGCCGAAUGUGCCCUUCGGGGGAAAGAUUUAUCGCCUUUAGAGCGGCCCGCGUCUGAUUAGCUAGUUGGUGAGGUAAUGGCUCACCAAGGCGACGAUCAGUAGCUGGUCUGAGAGGAUGACCAGCCACAUUGGGACUGAGACACGGCCCAAACUCCUACGGGAGGCAGCAGUGGGGAAUCUUGCGCAAUGGGCGAAAGCCUGACGCAGCCAUGCCGCGUGAAUGAUGAAGGUCUUAGGAUUGUAAAAUUCUUUCACCGGGGACGAUAAUGACGGUACCCGGAGAAGAAGCCCCGGCUAACUUCGUGCCAGCAGCCGCGGUAAUACGAAGGGGGCUAGCGUUGCUCGGAAUUACUGGGCGUAAAGGGCGCGUAGGCGGACAUUUAAGUCAGGGGUGAAAUCCCAGAGCUCAACUCUGGAACUGCCUUUGAUACUGGAUGUCUUGAGUGUGAGAGAGGUAUGUGGAACUCCGAGUGUAGAGGUGAAAUUCGUAGAUAUUCGGAAGAACACCAGUGGCGAAGGCGACAUACUGGCUCAUUACUGACGCUGAGGCGCGAAAGCGUGGGGAGC
rnacentral:rRNA from 1 species